GUGCAUCCUCUCGUGGGAUGGAGAAUCAUUCUUUAAUCAAAUUGAUUGGAUUGCACGGUCCAAACACGUAGAUAAAAUUAUCUACAGGCAUAUAUGAUUACAUUAAGUGGAAUUGUUUUAGUGGUAGAGUUGUGUACUAGUGUUUUGGAGGUCUCAAGUUCGAAUCCAACUCACCUCAUAAAAUAGACACUCUUAUAAUGUUUAUCUAUGUUUUUUAUCUUGUACCGAUUAAAGAGUCUCUACCCGACAAAAAAAAAAUUCAACGGACACACC
rnacentral:lncRNA from 1 species